rnacentral:rRNA from 1 species
AGAGUUUGAUCCUGGCUCAGGACGAACGCUGGCGGCGUGCCUAAUACAUGCAAGUCGAGCGGACAGAAGGGAGCUUGCUCCCGGAUGUUAGCGGCGGACGGGUGAGUAACACGUGGGUAACCUGCCUGUAAGACUGGGAUAACUCCGGGAAACCGGAGCUAAUACCGGAUAGUUCCUUGAACCGCAUGGUUCAAGGAUGAAAGACGGUUUCGGCUGUCACUUACAGAUGGACCCGCGGCGCAUUAGCUAGUUGGUGGGGUAAUGGCUCACCAAGGCGACGAUGCGUAGCCGACCUGAGAGGGUGAUCGGCCACACUGGGACUGAGACACGGCCCAGACUCCUACGGGAGGCAGCAGUAGGGAAUCUUCCGCAAUGGACGAAAGUCUGACGGAGCAACGCCGCGUGAGUGAUGAAGGUUUUCGGAUCGUAAAGCUCUGUUGUUAGGGAAGAACAAGUGCGAGAGUAACUGCUCGCACCUUGACGGUACCUAACCAGAAAGCCACGGCUAACUACGUGCCAGCAGCCGCGGUAAUACGUAAGGUGGCAAGCGUUGUCCGGAAUUAUUGGGCGUAAAGGGGCUCGCAGGCGGUUUCUUAAGUCU